rnacentral:lncRNA from 1 species
CCCCGAUUUGGACCAACUUGAAAACUGGGCCAAUAAUAAAAAAUCUAAGUACAUUUUUAGAUUCAGCAUAUCAAAGAACCCCAAGGAUUCAAUUUUUGUUAAAAUCAAACUAAGUUUAAUUUUGGACUCUUUGGACCUUAACGUAGACCAAUUUGAAAACAGGACCAAAAAUUAAGAAUCUACAUACACAGUUAGAUUCGGC